CCCCACCCUCACAACUUCAAGGAGGUGUUCAGAACAUCUACCUGUUCCAAGCGGAGCUGUCCGCUCCUGGAAGCAACCAGGAUGGUGUGUUUGAGAUCACACGAACAACUUAUGGUGUUUGUCUCUGGAACUGACCGAGGAUCAGCACUUGGAUUUUCCCCUCAGCCAACGCUGAAUUUCAUUCAUGAGCCAUUUCAUAAUGGCUGUUUGAACUUCCUCACCCAAAUGCAAUUAAAAAAUGAACUGAAAAUGAUUGAAA